rnacentral:tRNA from 1 species
GUUGGACUGGUGGACGAGUCUUGAUGUUCCCUUACGCGGAAGUGGUCACUGGUUCGAUCCCAGUGUCCCACACCA